UGGCUAAGUUGGUAAAGAAUCUGCCUGCAAUGCAGGAGACCUGGGUUCAAUCCCUG
rnacentral:tRNA from 1 species